rnacentral:rRNA from 1 species
UACAGAGGUGGCAAGCGUUGUUCGGAAUUACUGGGCGUAAAGGGCGCGUAGGCGGCCUUCUAAGUCAGACGUGAAAUCCCCCGGCUUAACCUGGGAACUGCGUCUGAUACUGGAGGCUUGAGUAUGGGAGAGGGAUGUAGAAUUCCAGGUGUAGCGGUGAAAUGCGUAGAUAUCUGGAGGAAUACCGGUGGCGAAGGCGGCAUCCUGGACCAUUACUGACGCUGAGGCGCGAAAGCUAGGGGAGCAAACGGG